rnacentral:tRNA from 1 species
GGGCGCUUAGCUCAGUUGGUGGAGCGCUGCGUUCACAUCGCAGAGGUCACUGGUUCAAGUCCAGUAGCGCCCA